AUUGAACGCUGGCGGCAGGCCUAACACAUGCAAGUCGAGCGGAUGAGAGGAGCUUGCUUCUUGAUUCAGCGGCGGACGGGUGCGUAAUGCCUAGGAAUCUGCCUGAUAGUGGGGGACAACGUUUCGAAAGGAACGCUAAUACCGCAUACGUCCUACGGGAGAAAGCAGGGGACCUUCGGGCCUUGCGCUAUCAGAUGAGCCUAGGUCGGAUUAGCUAGUUGGUGAGGUAAUGGCUCACAAAGGCGACGAUCCGUAACUGGUCUGAGAGGAUGAUCAGUCACACUGGAACUGAGACACGGUCCAGACUCCUACGGGAGGCAGCAGUGGGGAAUAUUGGACAAUGGGCGAAAGUCUGAUCCAGCCAUGCCGCGUGUGUGAAGAAGGUCUUCGGAUUGUAAAGCACUUUAAGUUGGGAGGAAGGGUUGUACGUUAAUACCGUGCAAUUUUGACGUUACCGACAGAAUAAGCACCGGCUAACUCUGUGCCAGCAGCCGCCGUAA
rnacentral:rRNA from 1 species